rnacentral:tRNA from 1 species
ACUUAAAUAGCUUAAAUAGAGCAUGAUAUUGAAGAUAUCAAGGUAAUAAUUUAUUUUUAAGUA